rnacentral:tRNA from 1 species
GGGCGAAUAGCUCAGUGGUAGAGCACCUGCUUUACACGCAGGGGGUCGUAGGUUCGAUACCUACUUCGCCCACCA